rnacentral:rRNA from 1 species
UGGGGAAUCUUGGACAAUGGGGGAAACCCUGAUCCAGCCAUGCCGCGUGAGUGAAGAAGGCCUUCGGGUUGUAAAGCUCUUUUGCCAGGGACGAUAAUGACGGUACCUGGAGAAUAAGCCCCGGCAAACUUCGUGCCAGCAGCCGCGGUAAUACGAAGGGGGCUAGCGUUGUUCGGAAUUACUGGGCGUAAAGCGCACGUAGGCGGAGUGUUAAGUCGGGGGUGAAAUCCCGGGGCCCAACCCCGGAACUGCCUUCGAUACUGGCGCUCUCGAGUCCGGAAGAGGUGAGUGGAAUUCCCAGUGUAGAGGUGAAAUUCGUAGAUAUUGGGAAGAACACCAGUGGCGAAGGCGGCUCACUGGUCCGGUACUGACGCUGAGGUGCGAAAGCGUGGGGAGCAAACAGG